rnacentral:rRNA from 1 species
AACGAACGCUGGCGGCAUGCUUAACACAUGCAAGUCGAACGUGAUCCUGGCUUCGGCCAGGUGAAAGUGGCGGACGGGUGAGUAACGCGUAGGAACCUACCUUUGGGUACGGGAUAACUCAGGGAAACUUGAGCUAAUACCGUAUGAUGCCUCCGGGCCAAAGAUUUAUCGCCCAUAGAUGGGCCUGCGUCGGAUUAGGU